rnacentral:RNase_P_RNA from 1 species
GGCAGCCGCUGGUCCGUCCAGAGGAAAGUCCAUGCUCGCACUGUCUGAGAUGACAGUAGUGAUUGUGCCGGUCCAAUCAAUAAGGCCGGGCAUCUGAAAAGAUGACGGCGGAGCAGAAGCCUAAAGGUUCAUCCCAUGGCUGAAGCCCUUAAGGUGCCACAGUGACGAAGCCGCGCGGAAACGUGACGGGUGGAACGAGGUAAACCCCGCAAGCGAGAAACCCAAAUUUGGUAGGGGAACUGCAAAGGACGAAAUGAAGUCCGGCGCAGGUGCGAAAGCACAGAUAAAUGGCUGCCGCGGCGCAAGCCGCACAGAACAUGGCUUAU